rnacentral:rRNA from 1 species
AGUGAACGCUGGCGGUAGGCCUAACACAGGCAAGUCGAACGGCAGCACAGUAAGAGCUUGCUCUUACGGGUGGCGAGUGGCGGACGGGUGAGGAAUACAUCGGAAUCUACUUUUUCGUGGGGGAUAACGUAGGGAAACUUACGCUAAUACCGCAUACGACCUACGGGUGAAAGCAGGGGAUCUUCGGACCUUGCGCGAUUGAAUGAGCCGAUGUCGGAUUAGCUAGUUGGCGGGGUAAAGGCCCACCAAGGCGACGAUCCGUAGCUGGUCUGAGAGGAUGAUCAGCCACACUGGAACUGAGACACGGUCCAGACUCCUACGGGAGGCAGCAGUGGGGAAUAUUGGACAAUGGGCGCAAGCCUGAUCCAGCCAUACCGCGUGGGUGAAGAAGGCCUUCGGGUUGUAAAGCCCUUUUGUUGGGAAAGAAAAGCAGCAGGUUAAUACCCCGUUGUUCUGACGGUACCCAAAGAAUAAGCACCGGCUAACUUCGUG